UUGACCUCGGAUCAGGUAGGAAUACCCGCUGAACUUAAGCAUACAAAACCCCCAAAGAGAGAA
rnacentral:rRNA from 1 species